AAUGUUGAACAUCCAAGAAGAAAAAUGAGCAGUGUCAAUAGACAUUUACCAGCAGUAAGACAAAUGACCAACAAAAAUAAGUAGAACGUUCACCCACCCCAGAAUCAAAUGAUUCACAGUAAAAUAAAAGAUACUUUUCAAUGACCAAAUUGGCUGAGAUAAGACAACUGGGAUAAUGUCCAGCCUGGCUGGCAAAUGUGGAGUGAUGCUCCCUUGUACAGAGCUGUGAGUAAACUGGGACAGUUUCUGGAAGUAAAGAUUAAAGAUUCUUAAUGCUAAGACAUUUGACCAGCAAUAAACUUGUCCUAGGAAUCUAUCUUAAAGAAACAAUAAAAAGCUACACCCAAGGACUUUUACUUCAACUUUGUAAAUAAUAGCAAGACAUCGGAGAUAGCACAGCUAAAUAGGAGACUGCCCAGUGCUAUGGUUUGGAUGUGGGGUGUCCCCCAAAAGCCCAUGUGUGAGACAACUCAGGAAGGUUCAGAGGAGAAAUGAUCUGGUUGUGAGAGUUUUAACCCAAUCAGUGAAUUAAUGUCUUGAUGGGAUUGACUGAAGGAGGGUGGGGUAUGGCUGGAGGAGGUGGGCAUUGGAGGCGUGGCUCUGGGGUAUAUGUUUGUAACUGGCAGGUGGAGUCUCUCUCUGCUUCCGGAUCAUCAUGGGAACCACUUCCCUCUGCCACACUCUUCCACCAUGAUGCGUUACCGCACCUCGAGCCCCAAGGGAUGGAGCCAGCUGUCUAUGGACUGAGACCUCUGAAACUUUGAGCCUCCAAACAAAGUUUUCCUCCUUGGCAAUUGUUCUGUUCAGAUCUUUAGUCACAGCAGUGAAAAAGCUGACUGAAACAUCCAGUAAAGUGCAC
rnacentral:lncRNA from 1 species